rnacentral:rRNA from 1 species
UACGUAGGGGGCAAGCGUUGUCCGGAUUUACUGGGCGUAAAGCGCACGUAGGUGGCGACGUAAGUCGGGUGUGAAAGCCCCGGGCUCAACCUGGGAAUUGCAUUCGAGACUGCAUUGCUGGAGUACGGAAGAGGAAGGCGGAAUUCCCGGUGUAGCGGUGAAAUGCGUAGAUAUCGGGAGGAACAUCAGUGGCGAAGGCGGCCUUCUGGUCCAGUACUGACACUCAAGUGCGAAAGCGUGGGGAGCAAACAGG